rnacentral:rRNA from 1 species
GAUGAACGCUAGCGGCAGGCCUAAUACAUGCAAGUCGAACGGGUUGUUGCAGCAAUGCAACGAUCAGUGGCGCACGGGUGCGUAACGCGUAUGCAACCUACCUUAAACUGGGGGAUAGCCUUCCGAAAGGGAGAUUAAUACCGCAUAAGAUCACACGAGGGCAUCUGAGAGUGAUUAAAGAUUUAUUGGUUUAAGAUGGGCAUGCGUGCCAUUAGCUAGUUGGUAGGGUAAUGGCCUACCAAGGCUACGAUGGCUAGGGGUUCUGAGAGGAUGAUCCCCCACACUGGUACUGAGAUACGGACCAGACUCCUACGGGAGGCAGCAGUAGGGAAUAUUGGGCAAUGGACGGAAGUCUGACCCAGCCAUGCCGCGUGCAGGAUGAAGGCCUUCUGGGUUGUAAACUGCUUUUAUCUAGGAAGAAAACGCCCAUGCGUGGGAAACUGACGGUACUAGAUGAAUAAGCACCGGCUAACUCCGUGC